GUGAAUAUAGCUGCCUUGCUCUCUGUCAUGCUUCAGCCUUACAUGCCCACGGUUAGUGCCACAAUCCAGGCCCAGCUGCAGCUCCCACCUCCAGCCUGCAGUAUCCUGCUGACAAACUUCCUGUGUACCUUACCAGCAGGACACCAGAUUGGCACAGUCAGUCCCUUGUUCCAAAAAUUGGAAAAUGACCAGAUUGAAAGUUUAAGGCAGCGCUUUGGAGGGGGCCAGAAGAGACCUUCGACUUAAAGGCAAAAACGUCCCCGAAGCCAGCAGUUGUAGAGACUGUUACAACAGCCAAGCCACAGCAGAUACAAGCGCUGAUGGAUGAAGUGACAAAACAAGGAAACAUUGUCCGAGAACUGAAAGCACAAAAGGCAGACAAGAACGAGGUUGCUGCGGAGGUGGCGAAACUCUUGGAUCUAAAGAAACAGUUGGCUGUAGCUGAGGGGAAACCCCCUGAAGCCCCUAAAGGCAAGAAGAAAAAGUAAAAGACCUUGGCUCAUAGAAAGUCACUUUAAUAGAUAGGGACAGUAAUAAAUAAAUGUACAAUCUCUA
rnacentral:lncRNA from 1 species